GGGCCGGUAGCUUAGCCUGGGAGAGCUCGAGCCCCAAACGCGGGAGGACCCGGGUUCAAAUCCCGGCCGGUCCACCA
rnacentral:tRNA from 1 species